rnacentral:rRNA from 1 species
UACGUAGGUGGCAAGCGUUGUCCGGAAUUAUUGGGCGUAAAGCGCGCGCAGGUGGUUUCUUAAGUCUGAUGUGAAAGCCCCACGGCUCAACCGUGGAGGGUCAUUGGAAACUGGGGGAACUUGAGUGCAGAAGAGGAAAGUGGAAUUCCAAGUGUAGCGGUGAAAUGCGUAGAGAUUUGGAGGAACACCAGUGGCGAAGGCGGCUCUCGUAGUACGGUACUGACGCUGAGACGCGAAAGCGUGGGGAGCGAACAGG